UAGAGUUUGAUCCUGGCUCAGAACGAACGCUGGCGGCGUGGAUAAGGCAUGCAAGUCGAACGGGCUUUAACGGGUGGUAACAUCUGUUAAGGUUAGUGGCGAACGGGUGAGUAACACGUGGGCAAUCUGCCUCGAAGUGGGGGAUAACAUCGGGAAACCGGUGCUAAUACCGCGUAAUAUCCAGGGAUCGCAUGUUUCCUGGAUCAAAGGUGGGGAUCUUUCGGGACCUACCGCUUUGAGAGGAGCCCGCGGUCGAUUAGCUUGUUGGUGGGGUAAUGGCUCACCAAGGCAAUGAUCGAUAGCCGACCUGAGAGGAUGACCGGCCACACUGGGACUGAGAUACGGCCCAGACUCCUACGGGGGGCAGCAGUCUAGAAGCUUCGGCAAUGGGGGAAACCCUGACCGAGCGACGCCGCGUGCAGGAUGAAGGUCUUCGGAUCGUAAACUGCUUUCGCUGGGGGAGAAAUGCCUGGAGGUGAAUAAUCUUCAGGUUAGACGGUACCCAGUAAAGAAGCCCCGGCUAAGUCCGUGCCAGCAGCCGCGGUAAUACGGGCGGGGCGAGCGUUGUUCGGAUUCGUUGGGUGUAAARGGURCGAAGGCGGUCGUCUAAGUCGAAGGUGAAAUGUCUACGGCUCAACCGAGGCAUUGCCUCCGAUACUGGACGACUUGAGUGCGGAAGGGGAGCGUGGAAUUCCUGGUGUAGCGGUGAAAUGCGUAGAUAUCAGGAGGAACACCGGUGGCGAAGGCGACGCUCUGGUCCGCAACUGACGCUCAUGCACGAAAAGCCAGGGGAGCGAACGGGAUUAGAUACCCCGGUAGUCCUGGCCGUAAACGUUGGGCACUAGGUGUGGGAGGUAUCGACCCCUUCCGUGCCGUAGCUAACGCAUUAAGUGCCUCACCUGGGGAGUACGACCGCAAGGUUGAAACUCAAAGGAAUUGUCGGGGGCCCGCACAAGCGGUGGAGUAUGCGGUUUAAUUCGAGGCAACGCGAAGAACCUUACCCGGGCUUGACAUCACCGAAAGGAUCCAUGCUCACUGGAAACAGUGAGAUUAGGAAGACAGGUGUUGCAUGGCUGUUGUCAGCUCGUGUCGUGAGAUGUUGGGUUAAGUCCCGCAACGAGCGCAACCCCUAUCGUCAGUUACCAGCGGUUCGGCCGGGGACUCUGACGAAACUGCCGCCGACAAGGUGGAGGAAGGUGGGGAUGACGUCAAGUCAGCAUGGCCCUUACGUCCGGGGCUACACGCGUACUACAAUGGCUGGUACAAUGGGGUGCAAUACCGCAAGGUGGAGCGAAUCCUCAAAACCAGCCCUAGUUCAGAUUGGGGUCUGCAACUCGACCCCAUGAAGGCGGAAUCGCUAGUAAUCAUAGAUCAGCACGCUACGGUGAAUACGUUCCCGGGCCUUGUACACACCGCCCGUC
rnacentral:rRNA from 1 species